rnacentral:rRNA from 1 species
AUGCCCAUUAUAUCCAUCAUCUGUCUUUUCUGCCUUUGGUUGGUGUUCUUACUGAAUAGGAUGGCUGACUUAUCCUUGUUUAUUACUUGGCCAGAGCAAACUUCAUACUUCUCCAGUAUAUCAUUAACUGCUUGGGCAUUCUUUUCAUUUGCUUCAAGGAGCAACAAUGAAUCGUCUGCAAAGAGCAAGUGGCUCACACUUGGCGCUUCUCUACAUAAUUUGAUUCCUUUCAAGCUACCAUUUCUUUCAGCAUCAUAUAACAAGGCAGAAAAACCUUCUGCGCAUAGUAGAAAUAAAUACGGUGAGAGUGGAUCACCCUGGCGUAAUCCUCUUUGGGGGAUGAUUACCUCAGUUGCAUCUUUGUUGACCUUGACUUGGUAUUUAACUGUUGACACGCACUUCAUCACUAGGUUGACCCAUUCUCUUUCAAAUCCCAGCUUGAGCAUCAUCUCUCUCAAAAAGUUUCAUUCAACUCGAUCGUAG